GGGAGUUCUGGACCCCAAGAAUACAGACGCCUGUGUGGAGAUGCCAGUCUCCCUGCCCUGCAGUCCUCUCCCUAUGGUCUGCAAGGGGCCCAGGAAACUGUCCCUGAUACUGGCAUACUCCCACACAAGCUGAGUACCCAGAAAGCCCAAGACCCCUAUCUGCCUCCUGCAAGCUUUAAACUUCCUUACAAGGAAAAGGGAAUGGAAGGGGAAACCCCAGCCACUGGCAGAAUUGCUUGAGGCCCCUCUGUUGGGGCCUAAUGUGCAGUGCAAUUCAGAAGAAUCAAACGAACUCCCAGUUUUUCUGGAGAAGACAGGAAUGUUUCCAUUCUACACGAGGGUCUUGACAAUUAUAUGGAAUGGCUUACCCUAAACUCUGGGCAGACUCAAUCAUAGCCUCUCACCAACCUGACCUUGAACUUGAGCCACUUUGUGGGAAAGGGCCCACAGGCAGUAGUGUACAUCACUCCUAAUGAGCAUUGCUAUAAUUGAAGACACCAAGCACGAAAUCUUCACUAGAUCGCAUUUGAAAACAAUAUGGAAGAAAAGGGAGGAGAUGUCUCUUCAGUGCUUUCCAGUUUCUCACCAGAGUUUCUUGCUUGUCUAAUUAUGAACUGCAGAAAUAUCCAGACUUUUACCUAAAGACUAAGAAUUUUUCACCAAUUUUUACUUGGUAGAUGAUAGAUAUGUAGGGCAUGUCCACAGUUUUAGUUUCCACUAGGCAAACACCCACACAUGCACAUUUAUUCAUCCUUGUACAGUAGAGGCAUUAAUAGAUCCCUAAAUUUAAAAAAUAAUAAUAGUCAUAGUCAUGCCCUAUGACCCAGCAAUUCCAUUCCUGGGCAUAAACCCAACAGAAAUGAACCUUUAUAUCCAUCAAAAGUCAUGUACUAGUAGGUCCACAGCAGCUUUAUCUGUAGUUGCUCAAAGCCACCCAUGGCAGCGCACGCCUGUAAUCCUAGCUACUAAUCCUAGUGGAGGUGGGAAGAUCGCUUGAGCCCCGGUGUUCAAGACUAGCCUGGGGCCAGGCACAGUGGCUCAGGUCUGUAAUCCCAGCACUUUGGGAGGCCAAGGCAGGUGGAUCACUUGAGGUCAGGAGUUCGAGACCAGACUGGCUAACAUGGUGAAACUCUCUCUAUACUAAAACUACAAAAAAAAAAAAAAAAAAAGCCAAUUGUGGUGGUGGACACCUAUAACCCCAGCUACUCAGGAGGCUGAGGCAGGAGAAUCGCUUGAAUUUGGAAGGCAGAGUUUGCAGUGAGCCGAG
rnacentral:lncRNA from 10 species